AGGAUUGGGGACGAGCUGAGGGCAGCGACGACCUCCUCAUCCAGCCUGGUCCCGGCCUUGAGCACGGCAGCGACCACCCCGUCCUUCCCCGUCUCCUCCUCGAUCUGCCUGCUCCACCUGCAGACCAUUCUUAUUAGAUGUGAUGGAACAAGUGAUGGACCUGAAAAAGAGAUGAUCAACUAGCCAGCAGCUAUGAUUGAGAAGAAGUGGUGGCGUGUGAACAAAGAUGGCUGUGACUGUGAGCACAGCUUGCUUCCAUUGGACCAAGGUGGUGGUGAAGGAAAGGCUUUGUACAUUGACGCACAUGGGACAUUCAGACCACAGAGGCUCCUCCAGAUAGCUAACAGGUGACU